GUAACAAUUCAACAGGUUGCCAGUUCCUAGAUAAUUUACCUUUAAUAUUGUGUAAUGAACAUUUCUGCAAGAGAAGUUUGUCAUUUAUGAAUCAUUAGAAUAUUAAAUGUUGUAUCAAACAGCAGCUUUUGUUGUCAGAAGCACUGAGGUCGUCCCAAUGAAAAGAGAUUAUUUCAUAACAAGAAAAGUUUAAAUAACUCUGAUAAUGUUGCUCAGGAUGAUACGACAUUAUCACAGUAAAAUAUGAAGACAGAACUUUUGUUGUUUAGCUGUGAGGAGUUUUUGUCUGCAGGCAGAAACCCUGAGCUGCCUCCUCCUGCAGCUGUCAGAGGUUUUUGUACGAGGGUUUUUCACCGUGAUGGGGUGGACCACAGUGACUGAGCCUCCGCACAGAGCUGAACAAAAACCUCCAGUCUCCUCUAAACCGUCUGUUUCAGUCAGGAAACAUCCAGAAUCAACAAAUAACCAGCAGAACACAGCUGUGUUUCAGGUGAGUGCUCAGCUGCUUGUUUUCUACCUGAAAACUUUCACAUUUCUUCACUUUACUGGACUUCAUGUGUCGGACAUGCUGCAGCUUCUGCUGCACAAAUGUUGGAUAAUCUUUCAUUUACCAGAUAAAUAGACGACUGAAACUCUUUGUGUUUCUUCCUCUGUGUUUCACAGCUCAGUGUCUGUCGACGUAAAGUGGAUUUUAAUCAUUUUUGAGCUUCUCUGAUGAAAAUGAGCAUCGUGAGGUUUUUGUAUGGGGAUGUAACACUGUGAUGCUUUAAUAUUUGGGAAAGCCACCAGACUCACCGUCAUACCUAAAGAUACGACUCCUGUUGCUCCGACCCUGUUCGUCCUGAGUCCUCUUCACCCAGAGGGGGUGCCGUUGAGCGAGCUGGCUGACGAGGUCUGCCUGGCCACUAAUUUCCGUCCACAGGGAGAGGACAUGGUUCUGAAUGUGCGUAAGAAGCGUCAGAUUAAUUAUAACACCAGCAACGCCGUCAUCUCCGAGGAAGAGAAGGGCUACUACUACGCUGGAUUCGCCAACGAGACGAUCUACUCCUGUGAGCUCAACGGCACGUCAUCCAACAACGAGAACAUCGACCUCUGCGCUGACCUCCAUCCAGAGAAAGCCAAGCUGAACCUGUACCUGCUGCUGAUGAACGGGGUGCGGGUGGUGUUCACCAAAGUUCUGGCCUUCAGCACCAUCUUCACCAUCCGAGCCGUGCUCCCGUAGACGUGUUUGUCCUUCACAGGCUCCCGUAGACGUGUUUGUCCUUCACAGGCUCCCGUAGACGUGUUUGUUCUUCACAGGCUCCUGUAGAAACCUGCCUGCACACCUGAAAACAACAUAGAGCAUCAUGGAGGCGCAGAGCUGUUUCAGUGUGUUGUCAUAUAAUCUGCUUUCUACUGUAUAAUAUCUGCUGCCAAAUAUACUGAAUAUCUUCUGUCAGUUUUUUUUUUUAUUUGAAAAUGUAUCUGAGUGUUUCUGUGACUCGUGUUUCUCGACUGAUCGAUCUGACGUCAGUGUGACGGCGUUAACUUUGUGCCUGUUCUGCUUCUAAUAAAGUUCAGCAGCUCUGAUUCAGUUUCAGUCUUCAGUCUGUGAUUUCUGUGAGUUUGUGAGUUUGUGAGCAGGACGGUGAAGCAGCUGACGUCUGGUUCUUAACUGCCAUCAUGAUUAAAUCACUGAAACUGAAACUGUGACAAACAGCAAGAAAAGUCACAAGAUUGAAAUUAAGUGCAUCAAAAUCAAUAAAUCAACAAAAUGGAAUGAUGUAUAAGUAUUUCUCCAGGUCAGGUUUUGUUUCGCUGCCACACUUUAUUUUCAUUUUAUUUCAUUUGAUCUAUUUUUUUAAUUCGAUACAAGCAAACACAAAUUGUUACGUGACUGUUUAAUGACAGAAUUAAAUCUUCACAACAAAAACAGAAGAAACAACAAAGUGUGUCAAAGAAGGAAACAACUUAAAAUACAUCAAAUCAAAUGUGCAAAUGUUUCAUCCAGAAUUUCAACAUAAUGUUUGUUUGUGAAUUUAAAAUGUCGACUGAGCGGAUAGAGACACGUGUGUGUGUGUGUGUGUGUGUGUGUGUGUGUGUGAGUGUUUGUGUGUGUGUGUGUGCGUGUGCAGCAGUUCACAGUUGAAACCACAGUUCAACAGUCGGAGCUGAAGCUGCAGAUACGAUCAGACAGGAAGCAGCUCUGUGUCUCACUGCUGGCUUAAAGUUUUAC
ensembl:lncRNA